rnacentral:rRNA from 1 species
UACGAAGGGGGGCUAGCGUUGCUCGGAAUCACUGGGCGUAAAGGGCUCGUAGGCGGCCAACUAAGUCAGACGUGAAAUCCCUCGGCUUAACCGGGGAACUGCGUCUGAUACUGGAUGGCUAGAGGUUGGGAGAGGGAUGCGGAAUUCCAGGUGUAGCGGUGAAAUGCGUAGAUAUCCGGAGGAACACCGGUGGCGAAGGCGGCUUCCUGGACCGAUACUGACGCUGAGG